rnacentral:rRNA from 1 species
UACGGAGGAUCCGAGCGUUAUCCGGAUUUAUUGGGUUUAAAGGGUGCGUAGGCGGCCUUGUAAGUCAGGGGUGAAAGACGGUAGCUCAACUAUCGCAGUGCCUUUGAUACUGCAGGGCUUGAAUGUACUUGAGGUAGGCGGAAUGUGACAAGUAGCGGUGAAAUGCAUAGAUAUGUCACAGAACACCAAUUGCGAAGGCAGCUUACCAUGGUAUGAUUGACGCUGAGGCACGAAAGCGUGGGGAUCAAACAGG